rnacentral:rRNA from 1 species
GACGAACGCUGGCGGCGUGCUUAACACAUGCAAGUCGAACGGAAAGGCCCGGCUUGCGGGGUACUCGAGUGACCAACGGGCGAGUAAGACGCGCGUGAUCUGCCCUGCUCUUCGGGAGAAACCUGGGCAACUGGGUGUAGUUCAGGCUAGGUGCCAUUUUUAGCGGGAUGGUUGGAAAGUUUUUGCGGGUAUGGAUGAGCUCGCUGCCUAUCAGCUUGUUGGAGGGGUUAUGUAGUACCGAAGCGGCGGCGGGUAGCCGGCCUGUGUGGGUGGAAGGCCACACUGGGACUGAGAGACGGCCCAGACUCCGACGGGUGGCAGCAGUGGGGAAUCUUGCACGAUCGGCGCAAGCCUGAUGCAGCGGGGCCGCGUGUGGGAUGACGGCCUUCGGGUUGUAAACCCCUUUCGCUAGGGACGAAGCUCAUCGUGACGGUACCUAGAUAAGAAGCACCGGCUAACUACGUG